rnacentral:rRNA from 1 species
AAAAACAUCUCUAAUAGAAAAUAAUUAUUAGUAAAACUCUGCACAAUGAUAAUUAAAUUGCCGCAAUUUAUGUGCAAAGGUAGCAUAAUCAUUUGCCUCUUAAUUAGAGGCUAGAAUGAAAGGUUUAACACUUUAAAUUCUGUAAUCUUUAGAAUCUUUUAAAUUUUUAUAUAAAUAAAAACAUUUAUUUUCCUCAGGGGGACGACAAGACCCUAUUGAACUUUACAUUUAUGUUUUUCUGGGGUGGAAAUAAAACUAAAUCUUUUUUCUUUUUUUUCAAAAAACAACAAAACUUUAACUCUAAACAAGUUACCAUAGGGAUAACAGCACAAUUUUUUCUUACAGACCGUAUUUAAGAAAAAGUUUAUGACCUCGAUGUUGAAUUAUUUUUCUUUUUUGAAGCAAAAAUCUUUAAAGAAAGUCUGUUCGACUUUUAAAUAUUUACAUGAUCUGAGU